GACGAAGGUGGCAAGCGUUGUUCGGAUUCACUGGGCAUAAAGGGCGCGUAGGCGGCUCCGAAAGUGGCAUGUGAAAGCCCCCGGCUCAACCGGGGAAGUGCGUGCCAGACUUCGGUUCUUGAGGGCGGUAGGGGGGACUGGAACUCUCGGUGGAGCGGUGAAAUGCGUAGAUAUCGAGAGGAACACCGGUGGCGAAGGCGAGUCCCUGGUCCGCAUCUGACGCUGAGGCGCGAAAGCGUGGGUAGCAAACAGG
rnacentral:rRNA from 1 species